CUUGCCGUAGUAUAACGGCAACACAUCUGACUCGCUUUGUCAGAAGAAGUGGGUUCGAAUUCCACCGGCGGCG